rnacentral:rRNA from 1 species
AGCGAACGCUGGCGGCAGGCCUAACACAUGCAAGUCGAGCGGCCGUAGCAAUACGGCAGCGGCAGACGGGAGAGUAACACGUGGGAACGUGCCCUUUGGUUCGGAAUAACGCAGGGAAACUUGCGCUAAUACCGGAUAAGCCCUUACGGGGAAAGAUUUAUCGCCAAUGGAGCGGCCCGCGUCUGAUUAGCUAGUUGGUGAGGUAACGGCUCACCAAGGCUACGAUCAGAGCUGAUCUGAGAGGAUGAUCAGCCUCACUGGGACUGAGACACGGCCCAGACUCCUACGGGAGGCAGCAGUGGGGAAUAUUGGACAAUGGGCGCAAGCCUGAUCCAGCCAUGCCGCGUGGAUGAUGAAGGCCUUAGGGUUGUAAAGUCCUUUAGCGGGAAGAUAAUGACGGUACCGCAGAAAACGCCCCGGCUAACUUCGUGCCAGCCGCCGCGGUAA